rnacentral:sRNA from 1 species
AAAUUUAACACCCAUUAGGUAUAAAAUGUCGAAUUUUAGGAAAAUUAAAGGCUAAAUUUUGCGAAUAAAAAAAAAUUGUAAAUUCAAAUCCGCUUCGUCAAACCAAUUUUUAAUUACGUUUUUUUAUAAAUUGUCGAAAUUAACACCCCUGCUCCGAAAAUAUAAUAUUAAAAUAAUAAAUUGGUUAAUUUUAAAUUCGUUUAAUUUAAUUUUGCCCUAAUAUUAUGGGAGGUUUUUUUUAUAUUACCGCAAACUGCAAUGUUAUUUUUUUUUAUCCGGACAAAUAUUAUAAUUCGGCAAAACGGCCAGCAGGAGAAUAUUAUUUUUCGAUAAUAGCCGAAAUUUUCCCUUUAUUAUACCUAUUUAAUUUUUUAAUUUAACAAAUAAAGGCCAUGCAAUUUUUCAGGGGUAUUUCCAUUUGUUAGGUAAUAUUAUAUAAAUUUAACGCGUAUAAAAAUAAAGUUAUAUCAAAUUCGGGGUUUGUUAAACGAUCGAAUAAAUUGUCCAUUAAUACCAACCUUUCCUUUUGUUUUUCAACCUGCCGUUACCUAUAAUAUUUAAAUUCCUUUUAUCGCAAAUUUAAAAUUAAAAUAUCGAAAUAAUCGAUCGGUCGGGCGUUACAAUUAAUUAGGUGGACGAGAAAAACGAUUCGUGGUAUUAUAUAAUAACGUAACGACGAUUUUCGAUAUUAUUACCUACACCGCAUUUUAUAAUACCAGUCGUGUCGGUUCGUUUUUACCGGGGGUCCGGUUGCGACAGGCGGGCUGGGUAUCGAUUUCGAGGUUAAUUUCCGAAAAAUAACCUUUAUUAUAAACGUUAAUUAGGUUCGUUAUAGCCCUAUUAAUUUGUUGCACGGUUAUUUAAAUUAUUCCAAAUUUAAAAUUUUAAAUAAA